rnacentral:rRNA from 1 species
GACAGAGGUGCCGAGCGUUAGGCGGAAUCACUGGGCUUAAAGCGUGUGUAGGCGGACUUCUAAGUGCCUUGUGAAAUCCCACGGCUCAACCGUGGAACUGCUGGGCAUACUGGGAGUCUUGAGCCAGCUAGGGGCGACCGGAACAGACGGUGGAGCGGUGAAAUGCGUAGAUAUCGUCUGGAACGCCAAAGGUGAAAACAGGUCGCUGGGGCUGAGCUGACGCUGAGACACGAAAGCCAGGGGAGCGAACGGG